CGCGAGACUCGAGACGCCAAGCAGUCCGCGUCCUCUCUAUUCUCACAGCCUGCAAUUCAGACGUCCUGUACUCGUUUUUGAGAGUCUUCUGUGAUUUUAUACUGACGUCUGCUCCUUUUUGCACUUUUUACUUCGUCUUUAGCAGAUCGGCCGGAUUCCAAUCAUGGAAAGAAGACCAAAAGAUGCCGUGAGGUCUCGACGGCUGGAAGUCUAUUUUGGCACACAUGUAAUAGCUGAAUUGCUAAAUAUUCCUGCUUGGUUUUUCAGUGUUCGGCUCUCCACCGGAAGCCAUUUAUCUCCACUUAAGCGGGUCCCUGCUGAUGCAGCCGCCCGGGCGCCGGGGCCGGUACCGUCCUUUCAUGUGAUCUCACGUGAAAUGAAAACAUUUAUUACAUUAAAUACUACGCGGUGCAUUUAGCUACAUUAAUUCAAGUCCCUUUAGCUGAAUGCUGGAAACUAAUGAAGGGAAAUACAGUUUAAAUCUGAGCUCACAGCAAAUAACAUGAAGCUUUUAUACCUAACUGCAUUCUGUUUGUGUUGUUGUUGUUGUCGUUUGCACUCAUUCAAUCAAUUUGGUCCAUUUGGAGUCAAACCAAGGGGGGCGGGACUCACUAUGAUUGACAGAGCGUUGCCGUGGUACGUCCUUCCUCUGCCUUCCCGAUGCGGUAACCUCCGUUCACUGGUUGGAAAAGACCAAGAUGGCGGCCGCUGUAAUCCAAGAUGGCGUCGGCCAAGAGGAGGCUUCAGAACAGCGGUCCACAAACCAGCGGGCGGGGGGGGGGGACACGUCCACUUCUCACGCGCGUCUCGUCUUGUCAUGACGUCUCCUGGAGGCUCCUGGCUGCCUUGUCCUCCUCAGCUUCUCGUCCCUCACCAGACCUCGUCUCGCCGUGAGUCUCCUUGACCUUCAUUCGUCCACGCUGCGGCUGUUUGGGAACGCGCUGCCUGCGCAGGUCGCCCCGUCCGAAGGGUUGCUCAUUGUUUGUGCCGAUGAUUCAACCAGAAGAGCUCAGCUUCCAUCCAAGCCCCACUCCAAAGAAACAGCGUCUUCACAAAAAGAAAUUCCAAAAUAGCUCCUCCCACCUCACUACACAGAAGGGCACUCAUCACAGGUCAGUGCUUAGCUACGGAUCUCACACUGUGACUUUUCGUUCUUUUUUACUGCAUUUAUCCUUUUUUCUGGGGAAAAUUACCGCAGGUCAGAACUCAUUGUACAGAAAUGUGGCUGAAGCCUUGAUGGAAUGAAUCACACGAGUGAGUCACAGCUCACAAGCGGCGAUGAAUACUGUGGAUUUGUAAUGUAUCUUCACGCCGAGUCUUUUCUCAGCAGUCAAACGAGUUGUUAGACCAAAAUACAACAACACCUCAUGCCUGCUAGAAGUGAUUAGAAACAAGCAGGAAAAAUGUUCUCUGUCCACUCUCGGAUUUUUCUUAAAAC
ensembl:lncRNA